GACGAACGCUGGCGGCGUGCCUAAUACAUGCAAGUUGAGCGAUGAAGAUUGGUGCUUGCACCAAUUUGAAGAGCAGCGAACGGGUGAGUAACGCGUGGGGAAUCUGCCUUUGAGCGGGGGACAACAUUUGGAAACGAAUGCUAAUACCGCAUAACAACUUUAAACAUAAGUUUUAAGUUUGAAAGAUGCAAUUGCAUCACUCAAAGAUGAUCCCGCGUUGUAUUAGCUAGUUGGUGAGGUAAAGGCUCACCAAGGCGAUGAUACAUAGCCGACCUGAGAGGGGGAUCGGCCAAAUUGGGACUGAGACACGGCCCAAACUCCUAAGGGAGGCAGCAGUAGGGAAACUUCGGCAAUGGACGAAAGUCUGAACGAGCAACGCCGCGUGAGUGAAGAAGGUUUUCGGAUCGUAAAACUCUGUUGGUAGAGAAGAACGUUGGUGAGAGUGGAAAGCUCAUCAAGUGACGGUAACUACCCAGAAAGGGACGGCUAACUACGUG
rnacentral:rRNA from 1 species